CAUACUAGGUGGAUCAUGAUUUUUCAGUGAUGUACAUAAAUUUGUGAAUGAUGAUCAUUCAAUAUACCAUACUGUUCUUAUCAAAUAGUGUGACUGAUGUGAAAUUAAAGUGAAAUUUCUGCGAAUUUAUUAGUGCUAAUAAGUCGCUGGAGGACCGCGCUGGGUACGUUAUAAGGAAACGUCCGAAUUCCCGAUCGUUUUAUAUGACACUGUUACAAAGAUUGAUUACUUACCCUUCGUAUGAAAUGGAAUAUGGACGAAUAUGUAUCAUUAUUGAAUGAGAGUGGUAUAUCAAGUUUUAGAAUAUAUAUUAGAUUUUAGUGGUAUUAUGAUACCGCUUGGAGAUACAGUCAAAGGAUUCAAACGCGGCCCAGCGAAAGACGCCAUGUUUGCUCUGCGCGAGGAAGGAGAGGAAAUGGCUUUCUCGUAAUCUACGCUUCUUGUCGGCGAGAUAAAACUACACCAUGGCGAGUGGUUUGUUGUCGCUGAAGUGGAAUAACCACCGGACAACUUUCUUCCACGUCCUCUCCACUAUCAGGAGCAAGGAGUCUUACUGUGAUGCCACCAUUGCCUGUGAUGGGAAGUUUUACCCAGUCCAUAAACUGGUGUUGUCAACAUGUAGUGAUUAUUUUGAACAGAUGUUUGAAAGGACAAACUGUAAACAUCCUAUUAUAGUGUUGAAAGAUAUUAGACAUGAGGACCUUGAGGCCCUCCUGAACUAUAUGUAUGUAGGUGAAGUGAAUGUGUUACAAAAUGAACUGGCAGGACUAAUAAAAGCUGCAGAAUGCCUAAUGAUAAAAGGAUUAGCAGUGCCUGAUGAAGCCCCAACUAAAGAAUCAAAAAGAAGUUCGGGGAGUGGGAAAGAAGAUAGUCCUAUAGCAAAAAGAAGAAAGAAAGAUGAUGAACCUAGGUUAUCAACCACCUCAGUUAACCAGCAUGUACAAAGAGAAACAAGAGAGUCAUCCAAUGUGACCUCUACUCAAUCCCAAAGACAUUCAGCGAGUGCCUCCAUUCCAACUCCUUCCCCUACAGUGUCCAGAACUGCUCCCCCUCCUAUCUCUCCAUCACCCUCAAUUGGUAGUGUCUCUGAUGCUGUGUCUGAAGACUGUAGCCAAGGCCAGAAUGAAAGUGAUUUACCGGCCCUAUCCAAUGCACAGGAUCCAAAGCACGGUAGUGGUGAGCAAGCAUCUAGUCAAUCGCAACAGGCUGUACCUGAGGUAAUAUUAGAUGAACCUGGUGUCAAAGAAGAACCCCAAGAAGUCGAAGAGGAUAACGGAAAAAAAAAGAGUAAUAGAGCCCCUUUUUUCUUUUGACCCCUAAGGGAAAAGGAUUCUCAAACGGAAGAGGGGUGGGGGUGGAAAUACAGUGGGAACAGGGCCCGGGUUUAUGACCCCAAGAAAGGGGUUCUCAGCCUCAUAAAAGGAAAAAACUAAUCAUUAAUUUAUUUCCAAAUUAAUUACAGAAUUCCGUUUCCCUCUGGGAGGGAGACGGAAGUCUACAAGGCUUUCCUAUGGAAGGCUAUAGUGGAGAUGGUUCUCGGCCACCUCAGAUGGCGAAAGGCAGUGGUGACAAGGAUGUGAGUGGCACUGGAAGACGUCUCCAUCACAGCUACAGACUUCCAACCCACUUACAUUUCUUGGAGGGCACUUCUGCCCAAGCAACGGUAGGGCAGCCCAAUACCAUGGAGAAAAUACUCAAGACAGAAGAUGAGAGUGGACACCCUGAUGCCCAUCCUGCUAUGCGAUCCCUGGCUCCUCUAAAUCUUCAGAUGUACUCAGUAUCCCGGCCAGGUCCUGGUCAUGCUUGCUUCCUUUGUGGCAAAACUUUUGGAUUGAAGCAUAAUCUGUAUCGCCAUCUAAGAACCCACACUGGAGAGAGACCUCAUCAGUGUCCUCACUGUGAAUAUAGAGGAUCUCGCCGUUCCCAUGUGCUGACUCACAUAAACAGAGUUCAUCAACGGCAAGACCAGCCUGAAAAAACAAAUUCAUCUUCAGAAUCUACAAGUGUUUCUCUCCCAACUUCUAGACCAAUAUAAUAUACCUGUAGCUUAUUUUGUACUUCUGACUUUUAAUUUAGAUAUAUUUUAAGAAUGAGUAUAUUGAUAAGUUCAAGUUUUUAAACAGUGAUAGUAAUUAUUCAGAAAUAUCACUUUAGAUUUUCACUGGAGAAUUUGCAUAUAAUUAACAUAAAUGAUAAAAAUCAUUGGCUGGGAUCGAAAGAAAAACUGGUUGUGAUUUGAUGUGCUAAUUAAUUUACAGCAAUUUCCCCUCAUUAGUCUUAGUCAAAAGAAAGGAAGAAGUUUAGGGCAGUU